rnacentral:lncRNA from 1 species
AUUGAACAAGACUCUUGGAUUGACGGACAAGCAUUUGCAAAAUACUAGGCAAGAGCAGCGAUUUCCACUUCGUUAUGAUCCAAGAUGUGUCAGAAGAAGAGGUGGUUGGCUGUGGAGCGACAAACCACUAAUAGGAUUGGGCUCUUCUUAAACAUCCCUUCAUAGUUUCAAUUCUUGAAUCUAUUUAAUUGUUAUAUAUGGAUUGAUAAGAUUUUCCAUCCAAUGAAGGAGUCGACUCUUCUCUUUGGAGGCUUAGCUUGGUUUUCUUCUUCGGAUAAAGUAUCAAUCUGCCAUCAUUCCCGUAGAAAUUGAAAUUCAAGCAUCUCUUGUUACGGAUAAAGUAUCUUGGAUCCCUUCUUUUGUAGUAUUCUUAGAGAACAUGGAAGUAUUUCUGUCUUUAAUUAAUGAAGAUCAAUCUAAGUAUAUGAAAAACACUUCUAAAUUAAAAAUGGGUCGCUUCAUUUAUCCAAUUGUUUGUGUAUAUUAUGUUUAAUAUGUUUUUACAUUAAAAUAAUAACUAAUAUAUCAUAUUCACACUGUGAUAA